ensembl:lncRNA
UAAAUCUUCCCAUUUGCUCUUAAGAUUAACCUUUCUGGUUUUCAGCUCAGGGGAUCAUAAAGUAUCUAAUCUGUUUUACCUGGAGCUGGAAGCACCUGCCAGUUUAGAGGUUUCCUAGCAGAAGACACAUCUGGAACAUGCAGCACAGUUUGGAAAGACUGAAUAAAGCUUGAGACAUUGAUUGCCAAGGCUGGCCACUGUGGGGACUCCUGCAGAUAUCUGCUUUCAAUGUGAUUUUGACCUGGACCCUGGCUUGAGGUAAAGAAGCACUGCUGUCUGAGUCUUCUGCUGAGUGUUACCAUCAUGUUGGCAGCGUGACUGCAACCUGCCUGCAGGAAGCAGUGAGUUUCAGUUUGCUUUUAUGGAGUGGGGAAAUGCUACUUUGGCUGAGAUCUCAUUUUCUCUAUUCUAUCCCUUAUAUUUUUAAAGCACUCUUUCUCAACUAAUUUUUAGGACGGUUAAUUUAAUCUGAGAACUCAUAUGAAAAAAUUAAAUUGUUUUGUUUUCUUUUAUGAUGUUUCCUUGAAAGAAAAUAGUCACUUUUAUUGGAA